UGCUGCCCAAUCACACUUCCUGUACAUUAGGGUCUGCAGAGCACAUGCGAGUGAGCAAAGGGGUAAAAUACCGGCAAACCUGUGUGGACCUGUGCGGUAAACAGAAGAACAUUCAGUCAAAGAUGCUGACAGUCGUGCCCCCAGAGCCUGUGAUUAUGUAAGAGUAUCGAUGGUCCAGGUUGCUUGUUAAAUUAAGAUUCCUUCCAAUCACCCAUGAGGUAAGAAACCACAGAAACAUCAGUGUCAGGUGGCACAAUGUGAGGAGAUUCCGCAGACCAUCCAUCCCCCACUGCUUGGUGUGUGGAAGGAAAGGAGAGGUAAAGGGACGCAGGUUGUGUCUAGAGACUGGACAAAGUAAGAAUACUGGUUUUCCCUGGGAGUCUCCAGGAAGGUGUGCAGAGCUAGAGUGCCUCGGUUUCAGCCCGGUGAAACCCUUGGAGGACUUCUGACCUCCAGAACUGUAAGAUAAUAAAUUUGUGUUGUUUUAA
rnacentral:lncRNA from 1 species